CACAGCUCGGACUGAAGGCAGUGGCGUCAAUUCAGCCAAAGCUAAGAAGUGGAUAACGGCGGGGCCUCAAAGCAGCAAAGUUAUUGACGAGUUCAUCUGCGUCCAGGGAUUUUACGACAGCAGGCUCAACAGCCAUCAACAUGAGCCUCAUCUCUCUCGUUGUGGCCACGGAGAGGGAGGGCCUGUCUUCCCAGAAAUGACGUGAUUUUGAACAAGGAUUUGACUUGACCCAGAGGCUGCUACUGCUGCUGCACCCGGGCCUUGACCUUCCUUAUCGCUGUCCACGUCUGAUCCAGCUCUUUCAAUCUGAGAAACUGGUGGGGACUCAGACUCGGAUUCAAUUCGAGAAGUCGGUGUGGACGAGUUCUCAGCCUCCAUGCAUGUAGUCUCCGUCUCCCUGUUAGCAUCUGCAUCCCCGGCGCAGGUGCUGGAGUGGCUAACAGCCCCGUUAACAGCUUGAAUCCCACCUUCACUACCUGGUCCUUCUCCCUCCGCUGCUGGGGCAACAUUGGAGCCAUCACCUUCACCUGCCUUUUUUUUUAUAAAAAAAGAUUCUAAAGUUCUUUGCUUUCUUUUCAUUUUAGUUAAUUAGCUUAGCCGAAAAAUUUAAAAAACCGCGAUAACAUGACCCGCUCUGACCUCCGGCGGCUUCUCGUCAGGAGAUACCACAUUUCAAGAUAGGGAGGGGGGAUACGUUACGAUAAGUAUUGGGAAAGAUAAUAUCUAGACUAGAG
ensembl:lncRNA